UGGGGAAUUUUGGACAAUGGGCGAAAGCCUGAUCCAGCAAUGCCGCGUGUGUGAAGAAGGCCUUCGGGUUGUAAAGCACUUUUGUCCGGAAAGAAAUCCUUGGCUCUAAUACAGUCGGGGGAUGACGGUACCGGAAGAAUAAGCACCGGCUAACUACGUGCCAGCAGCCGCGGUAAUACGUAGGGUGCAAGCGUUAAUCGGAAUUACUGGGCGUAAAGCGUGCGCAGGCGGUUUGCUAAGACCGAUGUGAAAUCCCCGGGCUCAACCUGGGAACUGCAUUGGUGACUGGCAGGCUAGAGUAUGGCAGAGGGGGGUAGAAUUCCACGUGUAGCAGUGAAAUGCGUAGAGAUGUGGAGGAAUACCGAUGGCGAAGGCAGCCCCCUGGGCCAAAUACUGACGCUCAUGCACGAAAAGCGUGGGGAGCAAAACAGGAUUAGAUACCCUGGUAGUCCACGCCCUAAAACGAUGUCAACUAGUUGUUGGGGAUUCAUUUCCUUAGUAACGUAGCUAACGCGUGAAGUUGACCGCCUGGGGAGUACGGUCGCAAGAUUAAAACUUAAAGGAAUUGACGGGGUCAUAGCUGUUUCCU
rnacentral:rRNA from 1 species